rnacentral:rRNA from 1 species
AACGAACGCUGGCGGCAUGCCUAACACAUGCAAGUCGAACGAGACCUUCGGGUCUAGUGGCGCACGGGUGCGUAACGCGUGGGAACCUGCCCUUAGGUUCGGAAUAACUCCCCGAAAGGGGUGCUAAUACCGGAGAAUGUCUUCGGACCAAAGAUUGAUCGCCUUUGGAUGGGCCCGCGUUGGAUUAGCUAGUUGGUAGGGUAAAAGCCUACCAAGGCGACGAUCCAUAGCUGGUCUGAGAGGAUGAUCAGCCACACUGGGACUGAGACACGGCCCAGACUCCUACGGGAGGCAGCAGUGGGGAAUAUUGGACAAUGGGCGAAAGCCUGAUCCAGCAAUGCCGCGUGAGUGAUGAAGGCCUUAGGGUUGUAAAGCUCUUUUACCCGGGAUGAUAAUGACAGUACCGGGAGAAUAAGCUCCGGCUAACUCCGUG